CUUGGCCGAGUGGUUAAGGCGUUAGCCUGCUAAGUUAAUGGGUAAGUUAAUUAGGAAUAGUUUCCUUAUCUGAAGGA
rnacentral:tRNA from 1 species